GCCGUGCCUUUUUCUUUAUGUUUUUUUUUUCCCUCCUCUUUUUUACCUUGCCUUUCCCUAAGAGACUGUUUUCUUACUAACAUUCUUCUUUUUUUCCUCCUUUAAACAAUCUAAUAUUUCGCGGUUUCUUCGAUUUUUUUACAAAACAUGUUUCGUUUUCAACUCGAGUUCUACGGCAAACUAUAGAAUCAAUUUUCUUAUUAUAUUACUUCUUUUUCCUGGUUCGCCUCCUUCUCGCUGUUCUUUUGUCUAUCCGCAAUGGCACGGCAGUCGAAU
rnacentral:lncRNA from 1 species